rnacentral:rRNA from 1 species
UACGGAGGGUGCAAGCGUUAUCCGGAUUUACUGGGUUUAAAGGGUGCGUAGGCGGGCCCUUAAGUCAGUGGUGAAAGCUCCGAGCUUAACUCGGAAACUGCCAUUGAUACUAUAGGUCUUGAAUUCGGUCGAGGUUGGCGGAAUGUGUCGUGUAGCGGUGAAAUGCUUAGAUAUGACACAGAACACCGAUUGCGAAGGCAGCUAGCUAGACCGGCAUUGACGCUGAGGCACGAAAGCGUGGGGAUCAAACAGG